rnacentral:rRNA from 1 species
AACGAACGCUGGCGGCAGGCCUAACACAUGCAAGUCGAACGCUCCAGCAAUGGAGAGUGGCAGACGGGUGAGUAACGCGUGGGAACCUUCCCUAUGGUUCGGAAUAGCUCAGGGAAACUUGAGGUAAUACCGGAUAAGCCCUUCGGGGAAAGGAUUAUCGCCAUUGGAUGGGCCCGCGUAGGAUUAGCUAGUUGGUGAGGUAACGGCUCACCAAGGCGACGAUCCUUAGCUGGUCUGAGAGGAUGAUCAGCCACACUGGGACUGAGACACGGCCCACGACUCCUACGGGAGGCAGCAGUGGGGAAGUAUUGGACAAUGGGCGCAAGACCUGAUCCAGCCAUGCCGCCGUGAGUGACGAAGGCCUUAGGGUUGUAAAGCUCUUUUGG